rnacentral:misc_RNA from 1 species
CUGCCUUUCUUCAAUCUACAAUAAGCACUCAGAGCAUUUCUCUCUAAAGACCCCCUUCACUUGCCUCUGCGAUGGCCGCUACUUCGAUCUUUGCGAAUAUUUCCACGGUCGAAAAAUGUGCCGCACUAUUUCCCAAGACGGUUGCUGCAUGCGAGGACCUGGUCAAGGCAGCGAAGCAUCGCGCAGAGCAGUCGCUGGGCAAGAUCUACGGCAUCCGUGCUGCCGACCGCACCUUUCAAAACACUGCCAAGUCCAUUGAUAUGGCGUCGAUUGAGCUGGAGGUGUCGGCCAGUCUGCUCUCCGUCAUCGCAAGCGUGUCUCCGAGCAAGGAGGUGCGUGACGAAGCAACCAAGCGCGUUGUGGAGCUCGAGACCUUUUCUAUUGACAAUUUCGAAUCGAACCGCCAGCUGUACUCUGCGCUGAAGGAAGUGUGUGCCGCGCCGGCGUAUGAGGCGGUGUAUGUGAGCGGGAAGGCGCCGCGUGAGUACAUGUACUGGAUGGAGGAGCAGCUUGCUGAUUACCGCCGCAAGGGUAUGGAGCUGCCAGAGGAAGAGUUCCAGAAGGUCGUCCAGCUGCAAAAGGAGCUCGCAUCGCUGUGCACGGUGUUUCAGCAGAACAUCAGCGAAGACAAGACGGAGGUGCAUUUCACGGUGGAUGCGCUGAAGGGCGUGCCAGAGAGCGUGCUCUCGGCACUGCAGCGCACGGAGGCCGGCGAGUGCACGCUGAAGAUGGACUACCCGACCUACUUCGCCGUGAUGAAGAACUGCGAGGUGGCGUCAACGCGUCGGGCGAUGGCGCAAGCCUUCACGAAUCGCGCGUACCCCGUGAACGACAAAGUGCUGAAGGACAUUAUCGAAAAGCGUCACCAGCUGGCAGUCCUCCUUGGCUACCCCUCCUUCGCGCAUCUGUACAUCUCAGACAAGAUGGCGAAGACGCCGGAGAUGGCGCAGGCUUUUGUAGAAAGCCUGAUUCCAAAGCUGCAGAAGAAGUGGGUGGCUGAGGUGGAGCUGCUAAAGAAGCACCUGCACCCCAGCUGCUCGCUGUCGCCUGCAGGGGAAAUAGAGGCGUACGAUAUCCCUUUCAUGAUCAACCAGAUCAAGAAGACACUGCUGAAUGUGAGCGAGACAGCGAUCCAGGAGUACUUCCCCAUGGACGCGACAGUGAAAGCGCUCUUCGACAUCUACCAGUCCUUCUUUGACGUGACGUUCCUGCAGGUAGACAACGGGUCAGAGCUGUGGCACAGCGAAGCAAAGACACUGGAGGUCAAGGACAACAAGAGCGGCUGCGUGCUGGGCUAUAUCAUCCUUGAUCUAUUCCCUCGUGAAGGCAAGUACUCACAUGCGUGCUGCCACUCUGUGGUGCCACCCGUGCUUCUCAAGGAAGGUGGAAACGACUUCUCCCCGGCACUGGCCGUUGUCAUUGCGAAUUUCCCAGCAGCCACGGCCGACCGGCCGGCGCUGUUCCUGCACGACGAUGUCGAAACAUUCUUUCACGAGUUUGGCCACGCUAUUCACUCUCUGAUGGGGAGGACGCGUAUGGCGACCUUUGCAGGCACGCGUGUGAAGCGUGACUUCGUGGAGCUGCCGUCCCAGAUGCUUGAGGAGUGGCUGUGGGAACCGGAGAUUCUGCAGAAGAUCACGAGUCAUUACAAGACGAAGGAGCAGCUGCCACGUGCGUUGAUCGACGCCAAGGUGGCAUCGAAGAACGCGUUCAGUGGACGCGACACGCUGCGCCAGCUGCAGUUUGCGACAUAUUCGCUUCAGAUUUUCGGACUGCCAUUCUCGACGCAGCCGCGUGACAACCUCAACACUACGCAGCUCUUCUACGAUUUGGAGCCGCGCGUGAUGCCCGGUGUGAACUACGAGCAUAAUACGCACUUUGAGAGCGCGUUCGGGCACUUGACGGGCUACGGUGCCGGCUACUACGGGUACAUGUGGUCCAAGGUGUUCGCCUUGGACCUGUUCGAGUACAUCCGCUCGCACAACGGUCUCCUCGACCCCAAGAUGGGCCGCCGCUACGUGGACUGCAUCAUCGGUGUCGGUGGCAGCCAGGACCCGAACGACAUGCUGGUCAAGUUCCUCGGGCGCGAGCCGAACAAUGAGGCAUUCCUGCGCAACAUUGGUGUGUAGGAUGGGGAGGUAGAACGGUGUUUGCUGAGCGUGCAAGACGACAGGUGUGUAGGGACACGGAUGGGGUCUCUCCCUUUCACGUCCUGUAGUUAUGUCUCUCAGGUAUUCGGCGGACAAUGCACGUCCUCUUCAAUACUCACACGUGUACGUGUACGCGGUUUAUUAUAGUGGUUCUAUCUGUGUGUGUGUGUGUGUGUGUGUGUGUGGUCUCUAUGGUUGGUGAACUCGGCCGACUAUGGAGUGCACGCCGGACGGUGUGUCUCGGUGCUCUCUCUUUGGCUCCUCUCCUAUCGACGCAUGAUGGCCAAACGCUCCUGAAUCUAUCCAGCGUGUAGGCCCACUCUCACUCGCACACAUGUAUCCACGGCCUCUGUGGCGCUUGCUGCCGUCCCCUUCACCCUGUUUUUGUGUCCAUAUACUAGGCUUCUUAGUUACACCUGAGCAUCUCCCUUAAAGAUUCGUUUUUGGUGAUGCCGUUCUCGCACUUUUCGAGGAAUGGGCUGGCAGGAGACGAGGCACGGUAUGACUGUUGUACAAAUUUCCGUUCCAGCUGCUGCGAGAUGCUGCCCUUUGUGCUCGACGUUGGCCACACCCUUUGCUUAUGCUCCUCAAAGAUGUCCCACUCCAUUAAGGUGGUUUAAGAGGCUCCAAGGAAAGCCAUUCUUAUUCGUUUCCCUCGUUCGACACCGACGCACUCCCCGAUGAGGGACAGCACCUCACCGCGUGGUAUCAUAGGGGCUAGUAGCAGCUUUCUAGGGGAAGCCGAGCAGCCUCCUCCCCCCUCCCUCCCUAUCCCAGCCACUGCCGAACCACCCCCUGGUGGUGACAGGGCCAGGGUGCCUAGGACGUGGGGAGGUCAGUGCGAUGCAGUGGCACGGAUGCCGGCGGCCAAUCCCUGGACGGCGUGGCGCCGGUGCGACCCGCGACCGUGAGCGUGCUUGCGCCAUCCAUGCGAUGGGCAAGGCGUCAGCGUGAUACCAACGCGUCUCGCUCGGCCCUCGCACUGCCUGCUGCUGGGGAGGCUGAGUGCCACCCUGCGAGGCGGGUGGGUGGGUAGAGUUUGGGUCAGGGGCCGUGCACAGAUGACUGUGUCGGCGCACUGCUGUGAUGCGUGUCUGCGGCUGCGUUGCACCGCGCGCUGGGUGCCUGUGACAGACCCGGUAGAGUGGAGCUUGGCGCAUGUUGUAUGAAGCAGUAACGGGUACGUGGCAAGGGAACGAAAAGAACCCCCAUGCUCUCAAUCUGAGCCAUUUCUUGCUGACGGCGUUGCCACACCAUCUCCUCUGGCCCCUCCCUCUCCACGCGCCCGUGCCCUCACCCUGCUUCUGCACAGUAAAUCAUUCCCCGCGCAACCUCCUCUGUUCUCUCUCCCUCGUAG